CUGGGAUAGGUGGCGUCUGGGAUAGGUGGCGUCUGGGAUAGGUGGCGUCUGGUAUAGGUGGCGUCUGGGAUAGGUGGCGUCUGGGAUAGGUGGCGUCUUGGGUUUCAUAUUGUGUCACUCCUGUGACGCAAAUCAUUCGGCCCUCGUUAUUUCCUUCACAGAACAUGUAACCAAGCAAAUAAAAUCCACAGGAAUCACACAACAAAGGGAUUCUUCUGGUCCCCACACUUCUCUCAGCGAGCCUAAAUUGUUUUUCUGCUUUGAGAAAAAUUGUAACAUUUGUGACCUCAAAGCCUCAGUCUCAAAGAAAGGACCUUUUCAAUUUCCAAAUGUUGGUAACUCGAAAUAGUUUACAGUUGUAUAGAGUAUGUCUUAUUCCUUUUAUGAAGAAUUGAGGUAUUCAUUGUGAUUGAAAGAAGAACAGCACUCAUGUUCCCUUUCUUGUGUGUUCUGCAG
ensembl:lncRNA